GCUCUAGAAACAUCGUUCCAUUACUGGAUUGAAUGUCCGGCGUACACCAUCGAAAGGACGACUUUAGAAGCAGCAUUGGGUCUUUCUAUCGCCUCCCUUUCAGAUUUAAAUGCGAUCUACUGGCCUCCACCCCAGACGGACUCACGACAACACAUAGUGCAAUUAGAACGCUACAUCGAGUCAACUCGUCGUUUCAUGUGACACCAGUAUUACAAUCUUCGCAAUCGGAGGAAAAAGCACCAGCUAUAACCUCCAUAUGACAGCAUAGAAGAAGAAGAAGAAGUAAUGAUGUUUACUAUUAUA
rnacentral:lncRNA from 1 species